GAUGAAGAACGUAGCGAAAUGCGAUAAGUAAUGUGAAUUGCAGAAUUCAGUGAAUCAUCGAAUCUUUGAACGCACAUUGCGCCCGCCAGUAUUCUGGCGGGCAUGCCUGUUCGAGCGUCAUUACAACCCUCAGGCCCCCGGGCCUGGCGUUGGGGAUCGGCGGAGCCCCCCGUGGGCACACGCCGUCCCCCAAAUACAGUGGCGGUCCCGCCGCAGCUUCCAUCGCGUAGUAGCUAACACCUCGCGACUGGAGAGCGGCGCGACCACGCCGUAAAACACCCAACUCUUCUGAAGUUGACCUCGAAUCAGGUAGGAAUACCCGCUGAACUUAAGCAUAUCAAUAAGCGGAGGA
rnacentral:misc_RNA from 1 species